rnacentral:rRNA from 1 species
CUUGGUCAUUUAGAGGAAGUAAAAGUCGUAACAAGGUUUCCGUAGGUGAACCUGCGGAAGGAUCAUUAUUGAAUAAAUAUAAUUUGGGAGGUUGUAGCUGGCUCUCUAUUGGGGAGCAAUGUGCACACCUUUCAAACUAUUUAUCUCCAACCCACCUGUGCACUUCUUGUAGAUGCUGGAUAAAAAACAACCAACUCCUUUGGAUUGAUUGUUAUUUUUUUGAGGGUUUGCUGUCAAGGCUGCCUUUGCUUGUUCAGUGUCUAUGUAUUUUAUAAUAUACCCUACUUUUUAGUCUUUGAAUGUGUUAUCAAAAGGCAGCAAUGCCCUUUUGUUAUAAUAUUAAUACAACUUUCAACAACGGAUCUCUUGGCUCUCGCAUCGAUGAAGAACGCAGCGAAAUGCGAUAAGUAAUGUGAAUUGCAGAAUUCAGUGAAUCAUCGAAUCUUUGAACGCACCUUGCGCUCCUUGGUUAUUCCGAGGAGCAUGCCUGUUUGAGUGUCAUUAAAUUCUCAACCCCUCUUCAGUUUUCUGAAGGGGUGGAUUUGGAUGGUGGAGGUGUUGCAGGCUUGAUCAAAGUCAGCUCCUCUUAAAUGCAUUAGCAGAACCCUUGCAUUGACUUGGUUUCUGGUGUGAUAAAUUAUCUGCGCCAUUCCAGUCGAUCAAAAAGUCAUGGUUUAGCUUCUAAUCUGUUUAUUGUCCUUGAAGGAUUAAAAACACUUUUUAACUUGACCUCAAAUCAGGUAGGACUACCCGCUGAACUUAAGCAUAUCAAUAAGCGGAGGAAAAGAAACUAACAAGGAUUCCCCUAGUAACUGCGAGUGAAGCGGGAAAAGCUCAAAUUUAAAAUCUGGCAGUUCUUUUUUGUGGCUGUCCGAGUUGUAAUCUAGAGAAGUGCUAUCCGCGCUGGACCGUGUACAAGUCUCCUGGAAUGGAGCGUCAUAGAGGGUGAGAAUCCCGUCUUUGACACGGACUACCAGGGCUUUUGUGAUGUGCUCUCGAAGAGUCGAGUUGUUUGGGAAUGCAGCUCAAAAUGGGUGGUAAAUUCCAUCUAAAGCUAAAUAUUGGCGAGAGACCGAUAGCGAACAAGUACCGUGAGGGAAAGAUGAAAAGAACUUUGAAAAGAGAGUUAAACAGUACGUGAAAUUGUUGAAAGGGAAACGCUUGAAGU